rnacentral:sRNA from 1 species
GAAUCAUCUGAGACUUCAAGAAGAUUCAUCCAGUCUGUUCUGUUGCUUUCAGCUUCAGAAGGAGAGGAAGUUCCUCAAGACAAGGCGCCAAGUCAUGUUCCUUUCCUGCUAAUUGGUGGAGGCACAGCUGCUUUUGCUGCAGCCAGAUCCAUCCGGGCUCGGGAUCCUGGGGCCAGGGUACUGAUUGUAUCUGAAGAUCCUGAGCUGCCGUACAUGCGACCUCCUCUUUCAAAAGAACUGUGGUUUUCAGAUGACCCAAAUGUCACAAAGACACUGCGAUUCAAACAGUGGAAUGGAAAAGAGAGAAGCAUAUAUUUCCAGCCACCUUCUUUCUAUGUCUCUGCUCAGGACCUGCCUCAUAUUGAGAAUGGUGGUGUGGCCGUCCUCACUGGGAAGAAGGUAGUACAGCUGGAUGUGAGAGACAACAUGGUGAAACUUCAUGAUGGCUCUCAAAUAACCUAUGAAAAGUGCUUGAUUGCAACAGGAGGUACUCCAAGAAGUCUGUCUGCCAUUGAUAGGGCUGGAGCAGAGGUGAAGAGUAGAACAACGCUUUUCAGAAAGAUUGGAGACUUUAGAAGCUUGGAGAAGAUUUCACGGGAAGUCAAAUCAAUUACGAUUAUCGGUGGGGGCUUCCUUGGUAGCGAACUGGCCUGUGCUCUUGGCAGAAAGGCUCGAGCCUUGGGCACAGAAGUGAUUCAACUCUUCCCCGAGAAAGGAAAUAUGGGAAAGAUCCUCCCCGAAUACCUCAGCAACUGGACCAUGGAAAAAGUCAGACGAGAGGGGGUUAAGGUGAUGCCCAAUGCUAUUGUGCAAUCCGUUGGAGUCAGCAGUGGCAAGUUACUUAU